GGUGUCCCCAAGCCAAGGAGGUGACUGAGCCACCAAGGUGUCCCCAAGCCAAGGAGGUGACCCCGAGCCACCAAGGUGUCCCCAAGUUGAGGAGGUGACCCCAAGCCACCAAGGUGACCCUGAACCACCAAGGUGUCCCCAAGCCAAGGAGGUGACUGAGCCACCAAGGUGUCCCCAAGCCACUAAGGUGACCCCGAGCCACCAAGAUGACCCCAAGCCAAGGAGGUGACCUCGAGCCACUAAGGUGUCCCCAAGUUGAGGAGGUGACCCCCAAGCCACCAAGGUGUCCCCAAGCCAAGGAGGUGACCCCAAGCACCAAGAUGACCCCAAGCCACCAAGGAGGUGACCCCAAGGUGAUCCCUGAGCCACCAGGGAGGUGACCCUAAGCCACCAAGGUGUCCCCAAGCCAAGGAGGUGAUCCCUGAGCCACCAGGGAGGUGUCCCCAAGCCA